rfam:Caldivirga sp. CIS_19 scf1118685652512, whole genome shotgun sequence.
GGGCCCGUAGCUUAGCCUGGUAAAAGCGCCCGGCUGAUAACCGGGAGAACGUGGGUUCAAAUCCCACCGGGCCCA